rnacentral:rRNA from 1 species
ACAAUCUAACCUGCUCUAUGUAUUAUAAAUGGCUGCGGUAAUCUGACUGUACCAAGGUAGCAUAAUCAUUAGUUCUUUAAUUGGGGGCUGGAAUGAAGGGUAUAAACCUUAUGGAGAGUUUUAUAAAAAUUUUUUGAAAUUAAAUUGGGGGUAAAAAUGCCUUCAUAAUACUUUGGGACGAGAAGACCCUAGAAGCUUAGGAUUUAAGAAUUUUUGGUUGGGGCGAUCAAAGGAAGAAAAGGAUCUUUCUUUUUGGGAGAAUUGAAGUUACUCUAGGGAUAACAGCGUAAUUUAAUUUGGGAGUCCUUAUUUUGAAUUAAGUUUGCGACCUCGAUGUUGAAUUAAAUGUAGGUUAGGUGAAGGGGCUUAGCUGAUUGGUC